UGGGGAAUAUUGCACAAUGGGCGAAAGCCUGAUGCAGCGACGCCGCGUGAGGGAUGACGGCCUUCGGGUUGUAAACCUCUUUCAGUAGGGACGAAGCGCAAGUGACGGUACCUGCAGAAGAAGCACCGGCUAACUACGUGCCAGCAGCCGCGGUAAUACGUAGGGUGCGAGCGUUGUCCGGAAUUACUGGGCGUAAAGUGCUCGUAGGCGGUUUGUCACGUCGUCUGUGAAAUCCUAGGGCUUAACCCUGGACGUGCAGGCGAUACGGGCUGACUUGAGUACUACAGGGGAAGCUGGAAUUUCUGGUGUAGCGGUGGAAUGCACAGAUAUCAGGAAGAACACCGAUGGCGAAGGCAGGUCUCUGGGUAGUAACUGACGCUGAGGAGCGAAAGCAUGGGUAGCGAACAGG
rnacentral:rRNA from 1 species